GACAGAAGCAGGAGGAUUACAAUUCCAGCCAACUGGAGCCACAUGGCCACAGUCAGGCCAGUCUAGGAAAUCACAGCAAAACCUCUCAAGAAAACAAACCAUGACUUAACAAACAACAUUUGAAAUGAAGACACAAGAUCCCAACACCUUAAAACAGGUGACCAGGAUAAUAUCCAAGAUGGACGUCAGAGAGGGAGCCUCCAGUUUCCCAUUGAGCCAAAACUGCAUUCAGGGAAAAUUAUUUCCUUACACUGUGCAGCCAGAAGCCUCUUAGAUGACCAGAAUUAUAUUUGAAUCUUAA